ensembl:lncRNA
UGUGAGGUGCACUUUGCCAAAGUUUAGCCAAAAGCUCAAUGACAGGUCAAAAGGAUGAGACCUAUGAUUGUUUUUUAACAAGUCAGACUAUGGUAUAGGAAAUUUUGCAUAAUUUUAUUUAGUUAAUUUAGUUUAUUUUAGUUACAUUUAUUAUUUUUAUUCACACCUUGAUUUUUCAAGCCUCAACACAAACAUACACUGCAAAUGCACAUAAGUACACAAAUAUACAAAUAAACAAACUAGGUCACAAACACACACACAUGCAUUUAUGAGACAUACCUAAUACAAACAAGAGAAUUGAGAUCUUUUAUUUCCGAUGUAAGACAGAAGAACUUCAAAUGCAAAUAUCUACCCCGCUGAGAUGAAAGGUCGUGUCUACGCGCCAGGGUAUGUAACAAAGACCAGACAGUCUCUGGCGUAGAUCACGCUAGUAAUAUCACCCCCAGUUAAGUUGUAAAAGAAAAAAAUCUAAAAGAUGUUUCAUCUGUUGUUGCAUGUGCAUAAAUCAACGUUAUACAUUUAUGAGUAUUAAAGAUUUAUGGUAUUAGGGUACCCCCUACGGAUGGUUGUCGGAUUUUACGUGGUGUUCUCAAGUGCCGCCCCACACACCAAGUCCCGUUAAAAACCAAAAGUUUUGUUACGCUCAUUACCUGUAAAAUCUAUCUUCAAGUAGUGCUACGCUGAGAUCUCAACAAUAGAUGAAACAAUGGCUGACAAUUACCAGGGUAAGUGUUUUUCAUCUGAGUUAUUUAAAUAUAUUUUAAUGUGAAUAUAUGUUUAAUGUCUCUUGGUUAUAAUCUCUAGCUGGUUUUGAGAAUCAGGAUUUCAGUGAUGGUUUGGAACAGAUCCUUGAAGAGAUGUAUGACCAGGCGGAGCUAUUUGCAUGUGAUGAUGAUGGCACUGUUAAUAACGGUGAGCACAUUGUUUCUGACAGUCACGUGGUGAUAUUACCUACAGAGGGCACGUUACAAGAGGUUGUGGUUAGCUUGGAAUCACAUCACAAACUAAACAACGUCACAAAUCCCACCCCCACCCACGUUCCGUCUUCAGAGGAACAGUCUCACAAGCUCCCAGACUGAGCGAGUGUUCACACCACAGGUACGUCCAGGCCCCGACACUCAGAGGGUCAGGGUGUAACUCGUUUGAGGUUACCAGAGCAGGAAA